CGGCUCGGGCGCCCGGAGGGGCGGCGCGCGGUCCCCGCCGGCGCGCAGACCACCGGAGGAGGCGCCCCGGCCGCCGGCCCGGCCCGGCAGCCGCUCUCCGCGCUCGGGCCGCCGCGGCCUCCUGGGAACCCCCCCCCCCCCCCCGCCCCGAGGGCGCACGCGAGUCCACACGUGCAGGGGAGCGGCUCGAGGGAGCCCCGGCGUCCCCCGCGUGUCGCCGGGCCGGGGAGGAAGCCCAGAGCCCCGGCCCCACUCGCCUGGGAUUCCCCGGGCCCCUCGCUUCCCGCGCCGGGUAGGGUGUCGCUCGCGUCCCGUCCGAGGAGAGGGCAGCGCGCGGGCUGGAGGCGGCGGCCCGCCCCGGGCCCCGGCACGGCCCACCAGGAAGCCGGCAGCUGCGCCCCGCGCCGCUGCCCACCCCGAUUUGAAUACCCCGGCGAGGGCGGGCCGCGUUCCCAGAGCUGGGUGCGCCCGCGGCGCCCUGGCGAGCGACCCCAGGGGAGGCAAUGGGGGCCUUUCGAGCGCCUGAAAAGUUCGUGCUUCCGCAGGGGCACGGAAAGUGCUAGUAAAACGCUUGGCACAGCUUGAGAAGCGCAGCCAGGAGCUACAGUCUGAUUUUGUUUCUGUUGACCGAUAACAUAACCGUGAGUAGAGCCGAGGGCGAGAGCGAGGAAAGGGAUCAGAGGUCCACGGACAAAAUCAUGACCAUCCUAAAUAUUCAGUAAUUCCGUUUGUCAUCAACACAGGGAACGGUUAUACGGGAAAUGGGGAAGAUGGGGGGCGGGGAGGAGAUUUCACAUCCCUGAAGGAAGUUCUCGGGCUCCUAGAGACGCCCAAGUCUUUUUUUUUUUGCAUGACGAGUAGAGACCGGCUCUCGGGGGAGUUCCCCGAUCCGAGGGAGCGUGACCGCGGCCGCGAUCUUCCCGCCCGGAGCGGCCGCGGCGGGGCCCGGCCCUGCCCUCCCGGCCGCCUCCCUCCCCGGCCGCCCGGCGCGCCGCACAUCCCUCUCGCGCUCGCCGGCUCCAGACUGGUUUUUCUGGUUCAGCCUCCCUCCUAGGGACGCGCUGGGGGAUCCGAUGACGUCGCUGGCUGAGUCUCUCCCUCUUCCUCCCUCCCUCCCCCCGCCUCUCCCCGCGCCCGCCCUCGCCGCGCACUCCUCCUAGUAACUUCUGUUCGGGGAGGCGCUGCCAGGAAUAACCCGGUGCGUCCACAGCCCGGGAGGGGAGGCGGCCGCUGCGGCUCCCGCACGCACACUGCUGCGGCCCGGGCCUCGCGGCUCCCUCGCGAGCCCGGCGGCCCCUGCCCCGGGCCCAUCGCCGUACAGUGUCAGAAAAAUAAAUAGAGGAAAGAGGAGCCUGGGCAGGCGGUCGGGAUCUCUUCCCUCCCUCCGCGCCCGCCCUCCCUCUGUCCUUAAGGAAAUGCUACCAGACACCCCCCACCAGACACGCUCAGCCUUGGCGAGGAGCGGCCGCCGCGGCAGCGAGAACAAGGGCACCAGGGGGGUUUCCUCCCCCUCCUCCUCUCCCCACUCUUCCUCCUCCUCCUCCUCCUCCUUCUCAGCGGUGACUUUCCAGAUUGGUGAAUUUACCUGAGAAAUUGAGACUCAAGAGUAUGAGAAUGUGUGACUAGGACCGAAAGCAGAUUUUCAGGUAAUGAUGUGAAUGCUGCUUAAAUGAGGAUUGACUCUGAUAUUCCAUGGUUUCCUUCCUGGUGAGCUCGCUGGCUCGCCACCCUCCACACUCAUCAGCAGCUGGUGUUUCACCCAGUGGUACUGUGAUCUUCACCACCCGUUCACUUGCACAGAAAAAGAUGGCAUCGAUUUAUAUUUAAAAUAAAGUGAGUUUGAAAGGUUUUAUGAAAUCCCUUCACUUUUGGAUCAGUUUUUGCCAGCAGCUGCCUGCAUGUAGUUGUUGUUCUCGGUUGGUCGUGACUGGUUAGGAAAGAUUGCUGCUUUUUGGAAAUGGUUCCAAAGACUCAUUGUUCCAGACGUCGGACAUCCUCAUACUCUUUAGGUCUGACUUUUCAGGUGGUUGGUCUAAAACAGAUUAAUUACUAAACUCUCAGUGAAUAAUUAACCAUUUGACUUGUUCCCAAGUUAUAUACUCACUGGGCUAGAAAUGAUUUCCCAAACAACUGAAGAUAAGGGAAGGUUACUCCUGGUUUCACAAGGCCCCCAUUGUUGCUGGCUUGGGCGUACGUGUGAGAGAGAUCAGCUGAUACCUACGCACUGGUCCAGCUUCUCGGUCAAACCACUUCCUGGGGUUUUCUCGGGUAAUGGCAGUGAUUCAGAAGAUACCUCAGCAGUUUUAGAGGAUGGUUCCCUGUGUGUUAGUAUGGGCCUCAGUGACUGGGAGCUGUCAAAUUCAAAAGGAGCGUUUUUAUUGCAGUGCCAUGAAAUCUCUGAUUUGCUUUUGCUCGAAGUGGCAUUUCAGUGAGUGUUGGGUUGCUUGCCUGUGUGUUUUCAACAGUAUAUAUAUAUUUUUUUUAUUAAGGUUAUGAAAGUUAACAUCCUUGUGAAAUUACAGUUGUACAUCAUUAUUAGUCAUGUUGUAGGUACACCACUUCACCCCUAGUGCCCUACCCCCACCCCCCUUUCCCCUGGUAACCACCUAUCAGUUCUCUUUGUCCAUAUGUUAACUACCACCUAUGAGUGGAGUCAUACAGAGUUCGUCUUUCUCUGUCUGGCUUAUUUCACUCAACAUAAUACCCUCAAGGCAACAGUAUAUUUUUAAGACCAUUUAUUUUGUAGUAGUGGGCUGACAGCCUAAUUUCCAUCAAUUAAGCGAUCCAUGCCUUCACUGAGUCUCAACCGUGUACAAAGUCCUCUGUUAGGCCGUGGGGGACAGACAAAGGGCAGUCAUUUUUGUCUGCCUUCAAGAGGUAGUAGUAACUGGGGAGAUGAGAGAUCAAAUUGAAAGGGACCUAAUCAGGUGUUAAGGUAAACAUAUGCAGCUGUACUAAUUUAUAAAUACAUAUUUCUGUGAUUUUAGUUUCUGAAUCUAUUCACAGUGUAUGUUCCAUAAGGUAAAAUUUGUAUUUUUAUGAUUUUAUUUAUAAUAUAAAAACGUGGAUAGAAUUAUUUUUCUGAGGCUUUUGUUUUAUUUUCCUUAAGAGGAAAAUAAGAAUGAAAAUAAGAAAGUUAUUUUGGAAUCACAAGAUCUGUAUUCUUUCCUGGCCCUUCAGAAACUCCAAAAUUGCAUUUCUGGCCAUGGAGUAGACAAGAAACUUGGGGAUUUAAGACACUAGUUCUCUCUUUGGUUAUUCUGACACCUGACUUGUCUCUUCCUUCCACUACUUGCAAACCUUCUACCCUCUUUGCUGGAUGAUGCAAGUCUAACGAGAUAAUGUAUAUGGAAGCAUCUGUAAGCUGGGAGGUGUUAUGAAUAAGCAUGUAUUAUUAUUAUUAUCAUUGCUAUUUUUUUGUGUGUUCACUGCUUUGCAUUUUUCCACUGAACAUCCCAGUAAUUCACUUCUGCAAUGUCAGAGAUGAUUAUGACUUUCUCAUUGGGGAAGCUACUUUUUUCCUGCACUUAAGAAAAUUUGGUUCGCUGAUGGAAUGCCGUCUUAGGCAAAAUGUUGCUCUCACCGGUCCUGCUCUCCUGGUCCUGACCAAGAUUGUCGGGAAAGGAGGUGAUGGGGAGGUUUAUGAAGGGAGGAGAAUCCGUCUAUUUACAUUGUGUGUAACUGCGCGUCGCUUACUUUACAAAAACUGAUGCUUGGUUUUAUAAAUAACUUCAUUUUUAAAUGAGAGGCUGUUCUUGGUUGUGGCUAAGAGUACUGGCUCUGGAAGUAAAUUGCCGUGCUUCUUGUCCUGGUUCCCUCACUUCUAGCUGGGUGAAAAUUGGCAAGUGUUUAACCUCCCUGUGACUGUUUUCUAACCUGGGCAGGAAGGGUACCUUCAUGAUGUGGUCGGGCGGUUGUGAAGCUUAAAUGGAAUGAUGCCUCUAAAACCGUCUGCACUCGAAGUAGAUUAAAGAGGGAAAUGAAAGGCUAUGUGAGGGGGUGAACUGUACCAUCUCCCAUGCUGUUUUAGGUUCUAAUUAAUGGAAUUUGGUUGAGUUCGAUGAUGCAUCUCUUGCGAGGAGGAGAAAGAGAGCGGGGAGGCGCGGCGAGAGAGCGAAGGACAGGGUGGGCCGGGCUGUGGCCGCCCUUCGCAUCGACAGACUCACGUGCUCUGUGGUGCCUGGCAGUUUACGGAGUCCUUUUACAUACGUUUAUUUCAUUUAAUCCUCACAACCAGCCCUGUUUUACAGAUAGGGGAAACUUAUGGCUGAGACACUCAAUGACAGGCUUACAGACAAGUGGCCAGUGAGUGACACAGUGAGGUCAGAGAAGCUGACCUCCUGGACUUGGGCAGUAAUUUCCUUUCUCCCAAUACCCUGGUCCCUCACUGCUAUUUAAAAAUUCAUAUUCGUAAUAACCCUGGUGCUGAAUCCCAAAGGAGCAGAGUCAUGUGCUGCCUCAGACCUGAGGGUUGUUGGGGGGGUCCCGGGGAUCACCUGCGGCUGUUCAGGGCUGGCCUUGCUCCUGCUGCUGCUAGAAGGUUCUGCACGGCCCCUAUCUCUUUGAGGCCUGAGUGAAGAUUGGGUUUCGUCUCUGUGAAGGUCCGUUCCGAAUGUUCUGUGGGAGAAACUGUCAGUGUUUCCUUUUUCCUGGAAAGGAAGGUAAUGAGCUCCUCCUGAGUGGUUGAACACGUAGGAUACAAGAUUCAUAGUAGGAAUACGCUUUUAACUCUUUUUUGAGUCACUGUGUUGAUAAACUUGAAGUUAGUAAAAUUACUCAUGUAUGUAAUCUAAAUCUUAGUUUGUCUUAAGUGAGUCUUACGGUUGUAAUUCAAGUGUACGCUUUUAAAAUGCUGGUUGUUAUAUAAUAGAGUUUGCUCCCUUUGUUUGGUUCUGAGAUUCAACACAAUUUUAAGUUUGAUUUUCUCCUUAACCUGGGUGUCCUGUUUGCAUAUUAAAAAUCAAGUGAUCGGAGCUGGCCCAGUGGCACAUCAGUUAAGUUUGCAGGUUCCAAUUUGGUGGCCCGGGGCUCACCGAUUCAGAUCCCAGGUGUGGACCUACGCACCGCUUGUCAAGCCAUGCUGUGGCAGGCGUCCCACCCAUAAAGUAGAGGAAGAUGAGCAGGAUGUUAGCUCAGGGCCAGUCUUCCUCAGCAAAAAGAGGAGGAUUGGUGGCAGAUGUUAGCUCAGGGCUAAUCUUCCUUCAAAAAAAAAAAAAAAUCAAGUGAUCAGAAAAAAUUCAGUGUACUGCUUCAGAUUUUAAAAAUAUUGAGAACAAAUUUUAAAAUUAGAAGAAAUAUUUCAUGCAUGUUAAUGAGGAAAGAUUGAAUUUAGUAUUACAUUGGAAUAUAUUAUUUUUAUGAAAUCAUUUUCUACUCUGAAUGAGAAAUUUGUAUCUAGUUGGUACAAUAUAUGUUCAUCAAAUUUUUUAUGCAUUAAAUUUUUGAUUAGCUGUAAUGUAACUUUUUUGUCUACGUGCAUUUCAUUUUUCAGCGAAGUGGUGGGUAACAGUGACUUAGUUUUUGAAGCUACAUCUAGGCCAGGAUUUCUCAACCUUGGUGCUAUUGACACUUGAGUCUGGACAGCUCUUUGUUGUGGGGGGCUGUGUGCGUGUUGUAGGGGUUCAGCCGCAUCCCUGGCUGCCACCCAGCAGACACCAGUAGUGUCUGCUUGUCUCAGUCUUGACAAUCAAAAUUGUCUCCAGACGUCGCCAGAUGUCCCUGAGGGAGCAAAAUCAUCCCUAGGUGAGAACCAUUGAUCUGUGACUUUCAAUAUAUUUUCAGAUCUUCUACCUGACCUAAAUCUAUAUUAUGCUAUAAUUUUGAAUAGAUGUUCAGCAUCACACCAAAAAAGGAGAAAGUACUAUAUUUAUAGAGGCAAUAAAUUAUGCUUAACAUUUAUGAAAAAGAUUUUUCUACAAUAUGGGUUGAGAUGUUUUCUGAUGAGCUGUCAGUUACCAUAACAAAUACAAUUCCCCGGAAUUCCAAACAUUUGGAGGAAUAUUUUAUGUCCUUAUUUCCUUUCAAAAUAGAUAUAGCCCCUUGAUUUUGAAUUAAUUUAUAACAAUGACUUGAUAGUGUUUCUUUUUUUAACUUCAAAUAAAUGUAAAUAAUAGUAUGGUUUACCAUAUAGUAAAUAUUCUCUGUGAUUAGAACGUUCUAUACGUUCCUCAUGCACAUACUUAAAGAUUUAAUUGCCUUCGCAGAUGGGCAUGUGCCUCUGUGAAACAGUUGUGCAGGAGUUGCUGAAAUUGGGUUUCAGAAGUCUCUUCAUGGACUUUUUAGUGGAGGUUUUAGUGUAAGGAGGCAAAUAGAGACACCUGGUUAUUAACUGCUGUAGGAAUAUAGGCGUUUCUCUUGGCCCAGGAAUUAAGUGACUGCUUUUUAAAAUGUCUUUUGCUACCAAUAGAAUGUACUUUUACUCCUGUGAACCAUGGGCUGAAGCAUUAGCCAAUCAGAGGAAGGAAUUUACUGUAUGGUAAAAGGAAGUAUUUGUUCUGUUAUUGUAGUACAUGGCCUGGUGCCAUCUUUGAUAAAGGAUUGAAGUGCCGUGCACCCAAAGUCUGCUAGCCUCUUGACCCUUCAUCAGUCAUCAGCCAGCCUGUGGGUUAAGUGAACCUCAGUAGCUCAGCAGGACAGCUAUUGUUUAAGCAUUGUGCAACUCUUGGAAACGGAAAUUUCUGACACUGCAGUCUUACAAUGUGAUGUCUUUCUAGUUUUAAGAUUAUACACAUAUGUUUCCUUUCUGCUGCUAAUCUGUGCCAGAUUAGAGGUAUAAAAUGAUAAUAUAUAAGACUUGAACCUGGGUUAUUCAGAUGGGUGGCCCUGAGACUUAUUUUUAAAAUAAGAACAUAUACAAAAAUAAAUGACCUAUUAUAGCACACAAUUUCAAGAAUUUCACAUGGGAUCCUACUGGAAUUUUUAUUGUCUUAAGACCUUCCAACUCUUGCAUGCUUCUCCUCCACUAUUAAUGUGUUGAUUACUGAAAGCAACUAUUUCUCCACGUUUUCUAAGUAACUGAUGGCACACACAGAUUCUUUCAUCACAUAUAUUUCUUUUCUGACUAGCUCAGGAAAACUUUCUAAGAGCUGUGUCCAGUAUUCACAGUUUUAUGUCAUCUAAUCUCUAUAUGUAUGCCACAUUCUUCAAGUACAGUAAUGUGUCAGCUGCAGCUGUCGCUGACCAAAGCUGUCACAGAAGCGGGUGGAGGGAGCGUCAGAGAUGGUGUGUGUGGGUUCUGUGUAUCAAGAGCAUAUCUGUUGCAAUCAAUCUGUGAUGAUAACAACUGGCUUGUAGAAGGUGGUUCAAGCCAGAUAUUUAUUUUAUCUUUGACCAAAUGUACAGGAGAUUGGCUGCCAUAGUGGAUAAAUGCCACUGAUAGUUAAUAAAAACUGGUUGAGUAUAUAUGAUGGCCUGACUUGUACAGUAAGAAAGACACAUUAAUGCAUAGGGUUCAUUAGUUUUGGCUGUAAAGUUGUUAACAAAGCUUGAUUCUUAAUAGCAUGCGAAUUUUAAAAAAAGACAAUUGAAAAUACAUACUAGUAAAAGAAUAAAAUGUUUGUUUUCUGAUGUAAGCAGGCGAUCAUGUUUUCUAAUUAAGUGUAUUUUGAUUAAAGUAAAUUUUUACACCAGGGCCCAUCUCCAGUUGUUUGUUAGAGGAAUAUUAACACCACACUUCCCAGAGCCGGUUAGAAGUAUUGGAGUCAGUCUAUCCCCACCUAAGACUCCUCAUAACCCACUGGCUCCGUCUUUCCCCAUCUUCCAUCUUUCCUCAUUCUCCAGUUUACCGUGGGGCAGAGAGGAGAAGUAACAAUUUCCAUCAAAAAAUUGUAGUUUGAUUUUUAUCUUCUUGUUCACCUUUUAUAAAGACAGUUCAAGGGAAAGGUGAAUUAUUUUUAGCAGUUAGGGAGAGGUAAUUAGCCGCCUUGGGUGGAGUCUUCUUGCACUUGAACCCUGUUGGCAAAAAUGAAAUCCUGCUACGGUUAAAGCAGUUAAGGGAGAAGCUCACCUUAAAGAUGAAAAGAAAGCCUGUUGCACAGCUCGACGCAUAAGUCCUGCCAGUAAUUCUGUGUUAUCAUUGACGUCAAAAUACAUAUUGCUUUGGUGAUUGUCCACGUCUUUUCUAAGUGUCUGAUGGCAUAUUUGAAUUCGUAAGGCUGCACAUGCCUCACGAAGAGAACCUCCCAGACUAAGAACGUGUGUUCUGGAGACUUAAAAUUAAAGCUAAGCACUUCGAUAUGGAUACACAUACAUAGGACAGGGAUAAUAAAGCAGUUAGCUCUUGCCUAAUUCCACAAGAAAGCUUCACAGCAGAGAUGGAAUUUCAGGAACUGUUUAUCGCUAGAAAUAUCUAUGUGGCUGGGGGUUGAGGAAAGGAAGCGUGUGGCAAUGAUUGUGCUCAGUGAUUUACUAAUAGCUGAUGUUUUCUGAGUACUUACUGUGUGCCAACCAGGAGUGCUCUAUGUGUAUUAACUUAGUUCUCCAACAAGCUGUUGAAGCAAUUGUUAUUAUCUCCAUUUUGUAGGUGAGGAAACUGAGGCAUGAGGAGAAUAAAUAACUUGUCUAAGGUUCUACAUGUGGUAAGAGGUGGAGUAUGCCUUUCAACCAGUGUACCAUACUGUCUGUCUUAUGUAAUUUCCAUCACAGCCCUGCAAAGUAACUAUUUUCCUCACUUUACGAAUAAAGAUGUUGAAGCCCAGAGAGGUUAACUUUGUCAAGAUCAUAGGUGGCCAAUGGCAGAGGAAGGUUUUGAACCAAAGGUCUGACUCUCUCAAAAGUCUGUGCUUUUUGAUUGCAAGAGGAGGCCUGCUGGGUAAGGCCCAGAGGCAUAACUGACAUAGAAAAAUGUGGGAGGUCCAGCUCCUUCCUUGUAAAGACAGUUACGGUCGUAAAGAAGCCGGUGUAGGUUGUUCAUAAUUCGUGGUAAGGCAGUAGAGCAGUUGUGUACUGAAGCAUGCAAAACUCCUUCUGGUUCAGCUCUAUCUUAUAGGAAUCGUCUGUCUCUGUCAUCAUCCUGGGUUGUGCUUCAUUUCCUUUGGUGUGCCUAUUUUCAAGUACUAGGCUGUUCUAUUCCUGUUUAUAAAUCUUUUAAGUGUGCAAUUAAAGAAGUAAUUAAAUUGUCACUAUAAUUUACAGUAUGCCUGAAGUCAGUCACCUAAUUAAACUGCAAGUGAAGAGAGGUGGUAGGUUCACAUGCACUUAUCAUUAUUACUGUAUUGUAGGUUCAUAUGCAUUUAUGUAUUACUGUAUUAAUUAUGCAAGGAUUUUGAACCAAGUCAAAGAGAAAGCUAAUGGUAACACUAGUCUUUAAAAGUUUUUCCAUUUCUGCUCUUCUCAGUUUAAAAAUUUGAGACCUUCACUAGUUAGUAGCAUAACCCUAAUAUCUUUUUUGGUUAAUUUUUAAUGAAAUUAGGAUUUUUAUGUCUUUCACUCAGCAUUUUCUUAUAAUGCUCCUUACAGCAUUAAUGGGUACCAUCCCACAUCCUAAUUGAAUAAGCAAUUAGAAAUAUAAUAGAAAACAAGAUUUGAAUUCAUGGGUUAUAUAUAGCAGUUCAAAUUCUAUCUUGAAUUAUAAAAAUGGCAGCAUAUGAGAUACCUGGAAUUAUUCAGAGAUUUGGUUUUCCUAGAGCAACAGUGACUGUCAAGAUACUUAUUUUCUUACUGGGGAAUAAAAAUCUACAACAAAAACACCAAAACCCCAAUAAGCUAUUAUGAAAUUCCUGCUGGAGGAAACUACUUUUGAAGAGUCUAUUUCUCACUUCUAAGCUCUAACACAUAUAUAUGUGUAUUUAUUACUUGAGGUGACAAUUGAUAACUUGCAUUUGUGUUUCAGCCCCUAGGGAGGUAAUUGCAGUUUGUAAUGGAAUUGGCUGAAUUUGUUCUUUUGGGAUUUGGGCCUUCAGGGAAAGGAGACUAUAGAGGGACACCAUCAGGUGUCAUCCGUGUGAGUGACAGGUUGUGUGCAGUGAAUUUUCCUCUAC
rnacentral:lncRNA from 1 species